rnacentral:lncRNA from 1 species
ACCAGCGUAUUUAAACCUCAGCUUUCUUUUUCAUUAGAGAAAACACAACAUUAGUGCUGCCUUGAAAAUUAUAUAUUUAUUGUUAUAACAUGCACAAUCUAGACCGUAUUCGAGACCCAAUGUGAAGAUCCUUAUAAAGUUACAUGUACAAAAAUGAACAAAGACGAAGCAUAAAUUGGAAAUCAAGAAAGACAAGCCUGUACAAAAGACAUGAACAAUUUGAUAGGAGAUUUUCUAACUCGUUUGUUUUCAGGUUGAGGUGAAAAGAAGACAGGAGGUUCUUUAUUUCCGUUGCUUUUUGACUGGAUUAACUUGUUUGCGCUCAACCUGCCAUAUCGAAGACAUCCAUGUCCAGAAGAAAAUGUCAUCAUUUUGACAAAGAAGGAAUUUUCAAUUUAUCCUGAAAUAUAAACAUUAUCCUCUAACAUGAUAAAGUAGGAAAUUCUAAAGCAAAUAAGUUUCUAAAUUACAAGCAUCACUGUUGUUCUAAAUAAUGGAUACUGGUCUAUAUAUUUGGCAAAAUUUACAUGCUAUUUGUAAUCAUCAUUUUAGGAAUUUAGAAAGAGAAGAUAACUGACUUGAUUAUAUAGGAAAACACAGAAAUAUUAACUGGGGAAUCUAAAGGGAAGAGCACAUACAACUUGGCUCUUUCUACUGCUACUAAUGAAGAGUGUUUGGCAUCAAUAAACCUUUAUGGCAACUCUUGAGCUAAAACAAUGCUACAAGUAUCAUCUAGUCAGUCGGUCGUCUAGAAGCCCAAACUUGGUCAAACGAGCAACGGGCUACUCUUUUAUUUUCUUAGACAUUAAUGAAGCAUGAGCAUGCAUGUUUUGCCAAGCUUAAAAAUAAGUAAAAGUUGCUCUUUAAACUUUUUUUUUUUGCCAAAAAUAAUUUCAAAAAAACAAGUUCGUUGGCUCAUUCUCACAUGGAUAAAUGGGGAAGGGAGCCUUGCAAUUGACAUACGCUCCUCCAUUCCUCCCCUAAUCUUCUAAUCUAUGGAUAUGAUCCAGACAAUUGGGAGACCAUGACGGAGUAUGGAACUCUCUCUAGAGCUCGUUCAAGUUAGGCAUUGGCCUUGCUACUAAUUUCUUGUUAACAUUGAAAUUUUUGUCGUCUGUGCGUUUACGUUUGAUAGGAGUAAAAAUCGUGACCUUAAAACUGGGAAGAGAAUGAAAGAAAUGAUGAAUCAAGAUAGCUUAAGAAUUUGUUUGGCAAAGUUAAUUUCAAAUUCAUUUUUAAUUACGUACUCUCAAUAAAAAAAAUUUGCAUGUCCACAUUUUUCACUUGCAAUAAUCUCUCAAAUAAACACUGAAUAAGUGAUAUAUUGAGUAAAUAAAAACCAGGAGUAUUGAAUAUUUAGCGAGGAGUUACUAGUCACUGAACUUUAUUUAUGUUCAAUGUUUAUCACUAAACUAACAUUGUUUCAAGUUGACCAUUGAACAAGAUAUUUAUUCAAAGGAUAAAGAUACAAAUACAAGGCCACGAGGUGGGGGACAAGGGCCCUUUACUCUUAUUCAAAUAGAUCAUGUUUCGUUACUUUGGCUAAUAGAAAAGCUAAAGUAACAGUCCAGUUGACACAAAACUAAAUUCCUAUAGUGCAUUUUCUGUUAAUCAAAUUGACAACUUUGGACAAAGUGACCAACAUGGAAUAAGGUUUAAGCUCAUCUACUAAUUCGGAAAAGAAUGAAAUUUAGAGAUUAAUAUAGCAAAUAGUUAGAAAUUUAGAGACCACCAGCGUAUUUAAACCUCAGCUUUCUUUUUCAUUAGAGAAAACACAACAUUAGUGCUGCCUUGAAAAUUAUAUAUUUAUUGUUAUAACAUGCACAAUCUAGACCGUAUUCGAGACCCAAUGUGAAGAUCCUUAUAAAGUUACAUGUACAAAAAUGAACAAAGACGAAGCAUAAAUUGGGAAUCAAGAAAGACAACCCUGUACAAAAGACAUGAACAAUUUGAUAGGAGAUUUUCUAACUCAUUUGUUUUCAGGUUGAGGUGAAAAGAAGACAGGAGGUUCUUUAUUUCCGUUGCUUUUUGACUGGAUUAACUUGUUUGCGCUCAACCUGCCAUAUCGAAGACAUCCAUG